UCAAGAUUUGCGAGGACGAGCAGGCCAUGAGCCUUCUCCGCCUCCGCUGACGUCACCUCCGUCGACGGCCUCCAGGCCACGACCACAUCGCACGACCUCAGGGCCCGCUGGCCGCCGGCGCCGCCGAGCGAGGUGAGAGCGCGGCGGGGUGUGCUGCCUCUGGGCUAGGCGAGGCCAUGGCGGGGUGAGGCCAGCUGGUGCGAAGGAUCUCGCGAAUGACAAGCGAGAGCCGGAGGGCCCCUCGCCGGAGGUUGAGGAUGAGCCGCCAUGAUCGGCGACAGUGAAGCAGGAGGCAAAGUGGCGCUGGGUCAGAGGGGUCCCGCCCAUUCACCGUGCCAGAGCUCCAUGGUGAGCUCAAGGAGGACGGCGAGACGGUAGCCGGUAGCAGCAGCGCAGGGUCCCCUAAUGCCGAUGGCUCGUCCUACAGGUUUUACCUACACAUGGCACCCCUGUGCCUUAUCGGAGGGAUCUCUUCAUACAUGGCUAUCUUGAUGGCCGGAGGUUGCCAUGUCCUGGUACUGAAUUUGAUGCCAAAACAAUCUUUGAUGCCAUCAAGGAUCAAGGAGUGACUUCUUUCAUCACUGUCCCUACGAUCAUGGCUGGCCUACUGUCCUGUGAUAGUUAUGAGAUAGCACUCCAGUUUUCUGAAAUCCUAGGAGUGUGCAACUGUUGGUGCAGAUCCUAGCAGUGCAUAUUUUUUUUACUAUUGCCUGUGCGCGUGUACUGAACAUAUGCCACAAUGUAUAUUGCAAUCAUCUACUUCAUGUUAUGUUGAAUUAUAUUUUAGAUAAAAUCAUGAUAGAGCUUUCACUAUUUUUUUACAGCUGCAUACCUAGAAUUUUGUCUCCAAUCGAAGUUCUAUAUUCAAAUGAAACUAUUGUUUGAAAUUAGACAGGACCUGUUUGUCUUUCAAUAGGGUGCAUGCAGUUAGUGUUCCUUCAAGGCACACCGUACCCAGCACAUCUUGUUGCGUGCUGUGAUGUGGUGCGGCACUUACUUAUAGCCUCACACAACUCUAAGAACUCACAGUGUCAAUUGUUUAGUAAGCGUAAUAAGGCCUAGGUCUCCAAUGGAGUUAUGGUUCCUGACGAUAAAUUGAUAAGUUUUCAGACUUUGUUGAUCUUUUGAGAUUACAAAUUUUAGUUUGUUCAGAUCAAUUCUUUUUGGCAACUCCCCUUUCAUGCAUAAUUAAUUCUUCCAUGAUUCCUGAUCCCUGAUGAUGUUAAAUCUUGAAUGCGUCUGUUGUUAGGAUUGGAGUGUGUUGUGUUUGAAUAACCUGAUGUGAUCGGUGAUCCAUGUUAGAGUUCCGGGCUUCAGGCAAAGACAAAUUGCACAAGGUUAACUAAGGUAAUGGCUCUUUGACAUUUUUCCACUAGGGUGCAUGCAGUUGCAGGACCUCUGAAUGUGAGUCUUCUUAUUGCGGUGGUUCCUUAAACUCCACUUGCAUUACCUCUCCAUCUUUAGACAAAUUACUCUAUUUUAGCAGGAGUACAGAACAUGGGCGAAGCAUGCAGAUUAAAGAAAAAUAGAUGUCCAGACUAUUCACUAUGAUGUUGCAGAUUAAUAUAUGUUGGCUGAUAAUGAUGGUUUUGUACUAAACAGCUAGAACCUAUAUUUUUGCUCUUACAGUAAUGGUGAGCCUUCCAAACUCUAGAACCGAGAAACUGGGCACCAAAUGUGGACCUCAAGUUAGUUGCCAAUAAGACCGAGAUUCAGGUAGUAAGAAGGAACUGACAACUUACCCCCUUGCCAUGUCUCUAUGUAACAGCAGCUGACAAAUGCUAUGGUUGAGCCAUAAGAGGCAUCUCUCCCUCUGCACUUAGAUCUUUUUAAUGUUUAGAAGAUAUACAGAAGUUGUGAUAUUUUUGCCUAUGCUUAUGUAAUUAACAAAACAACUACAAUUUAUUACUCUUUAUGAUUAAUUUUAAAUGUAUGUAAUUCUCUGCUUGAUUACCAAU